UACGUAGGGGCGAGCGUUGUCCGGAAUUAUUGGGCGUAAAGGGUUCGUAGGCGGUAAUACAUGUCAGAUGUGAAAUCUUGUGGCUUAACCACAUCAAGCAUCUGAAACUGUAUAACUUGAGUGGAGGAGAGGUAAGUGGAAUUCCUAGUGUAGCGGUGAAAUGCGUAGAUAUUAGGAAGAAUACCAGUAGCGAAGGCGACUUACUGGCCUCUAACUGACGCUGAUGAACGAAAGCGUGGGUAGCAAACAGGAUUAGAUACCCGUGUA
rnacentral:rRNA from 1 species